GGGCCCUAUCAGGCUUGUUGGUGAGGGUAAUGGCUCACCAAGGCGACGACGGGUAGCCGCCCUGAGAGGGUGACCGCCCCCCUUGGGAUUGAGACACGGCCCAGACUCUUACGGGAGGCAGCAGUGGGGAAUAUUGCACAAUGGGCGAAAGCCUGAUGCAGCGACGCCGCGUGAGGGAUGACGCCCUUCGGGUUGUAAACCUCUUUCAGUAGGGAAGAAGCGAAAGUGACGGUACCUGCAGAAGAAGCACCGGCUAACUACGUGCCAGCAGCCGCGGUAAUACGUAGGGUGCGAGCGUUAUCCGGAAUUAUUGGGCGUAAAGAGCUCGUAGGCGGUUUGUCGCGUCUGUCGUGAAAGUCCGGGGCUUAACCCCGGAUCUGCGGUGGGUACGGGCAGACUAGAGUGCAGUAGGGGAGACUGGAAUUCCUGGUGUAGCGGUGGAAUGCGCAGAUAUCAGGAGGAACACCGAUGGCGAAGGCAGGUCUCUGGGCUGUAACUGACGCUGAGGAGCGAAAGCAUGGGGAGCGAACAGGAUUAGAUACCCCUGGUAGUCCAUGCCGUAAACGUUGGGCACUAGGUGUGGGGACCAUUCCACGGUUUCCGCGCCGCAGCUAACGCAUUAAGUGCCCCGCCUGGGGAGUACGGCCGCAAGGCUAAAACUCAAAGGAAUUGACGGGGGCCCGCACAAGCGGCGGAGCAUGCGGAUUAAUUCGAUGCAACGCGAAGAACCUUACCAAGGCUUGACAUGUUCNCGAUCGCCGUAGAGAUACGGUUUCCCCUUGGGGCGGUUCACAG
rnacentral:rRNA from 1 species